GACGAACGCUGGCGGCGUGCUUAACACAUGCAAGUCGAGCGCCCCGCAAGGGGAGCGGCGGACGGGUGAGUAACACGUGGGAAUUUUCCUCAAGGUACGGAACAACUCAGGGAAACUUGGGCUAAUACCGUAUGAUGCAGAGAUGCCAAAGAUUUAUCGCCUUGGGAUAAGCCCGCGUCAGAUUAGGUAGUUGGUGGGGUAAUGGCCUACCAAGCCUGUGAUCUGUAGCUGGUCUGAGAGGACGAUCAGCCACAUUGGGACUGAGACACGGCCCAAACUCCUACGGGAGGCAGCAGUGGGGAAUCUUGCGCAAUGGGCGAAAGCCUGACGCAGCCAUGCCGCGUGAAUGAUGAAGGUCUUAGGAUUGUAAAGUUCUUUAGCCUGUGACGAUGAUGACGGUAACAGGAGAAUAAGCCCCGGCUAACUUCGUG
rnacentral:rRNA from 1 species